CGUGUAGGCGGAGAUGCAAGUUGGGAGUGAAAUCCCGGGGCUCAACCCCGGAACUGCUUUCAAACUGCAUCCCUUGAGUAUCGGAGAGGCAAGCGGAAUUCCUAGUGUAGCGGUGAAAUGCGUAGAUAUUAGGAGGAACACCAGUGGCGAAGGCGGCUUGCUGGACGACAACUGACGCUGAGGCGCGAAAGCGUGGGGAGCAAACA
rnacentral:rRNA from 1 species